rnacentral:rRNA from 1 species
AGUCGAGCGACAGAUGAGAAGCUUGCUUCUCUGAUGUUAGCGGCGGACGGGUGAGUAACACGUGGGUAACCUACCUAUAAGACUGGGAUAACUCCGGGAAACCGGGGCUAAUACCGGAUAAUAUUUUGAACCGCAUGGUUCAAUAGUGAAAGACGGUUUCGGCUGUCACUUAUAGAUGGACCCGCGCCGUAUAGCUAGUUGGUAAGGUAACGGCUUACCAAGGCGACGAUACGUAGCCGACCUGAGAGGGUGAUCGGCCACACUGGAACUGAGACACGGUCCAGACUCCUACGGGAGGCAGCAGUAGGGAAUCUUCCGCAAUGGGCGAAAGCCUGACGGAGCAACGCCGCGUGAGUGAUGAAGGUCUUCGGAUUGUAAAACUCUGUUGUUAGGGAAGAACAAAUUUGUUAGUAACUGAACAAGUCUUGACGGUACCUAACCAGAAAGCCACGGCUAACUACGUGCCAGCAGCCGCGGUAAUACGUAGGUGGCAAGCGUUAUCCGGAAUUAUUGGGCGUAAAGCGCGCGUAGGCGGUUUCUUAAGUCUGAUGUGAAAGCCCACGG